rnacentral:rRNA from 1 species
UACGUAGGGUGCAAGCGUUGUCCGGAAUUAUUGGGCGUAAAGGGCUCGUAGGCGGUUUGUCGCGUCGGGAGUGAAAUCCACUGGCUUAACUGGUGGCUUGCUUUCGAUACGGGCAGACUGGAGGUAUGCAGGGGAGAACGGAAUUCCUGGUGUAGCGGUGAAAUGCGCAGAUAUCAGGAGGAACACCGGUGGCGAAGGCGGUUCUCUGGGCAUGUCCUGACGCUGAGGAGCGAAAGUGUGGGGAGCGAACAGG